GAUCUUUCGCUAUUCGAGAGGGAUGCAAGCUUAUCUACAAGCAAAAUAAUUUAGAUAUGUGUUAAAUAUAAUAGAACUGCAUGCCAUCUGCUACGGCCCUUUGAGGACACUGCCACUUCAGUCAUAAUAUUGUAUAUUGUCUUCUUUUCACAAUUCGAGUAUUACUUAUUUUAUAUCGACAUUGACGCGAUUGCAGUAUGUUCCAUCUUUUUAAGCAACAAAUUCCAGUGGUUUUCUAUCAUUCGAGAAAAAUCAACAUCCAAUCAUUUACAAUCAUUUAGAACAUUCAAAUAUAAGUGAUAUAAAAAUUAAGCAAUAAAUACA